AAUUUUGGACAAUGGGGGCAACCCUGAUCCAGCCACGCCGCGUGAGUGAAGAAGGCCUUCGGGUUGUAAAGCUCUUUCGGCGGGGACGAAACGGUCCGUGACAACACCACGGACUAAUGACGGUACUCGCAGAAGAAGCACCGGCUAACUACGUGCCAGCAGCCGCGGUAAUACGUAGGGUGCAGGCGUUAAUCGGAAUUACUGGGCGUAAAGCGUGCGCAGGCGGCUCCUUAAGUCAGAUGUGAAAUCCCCGGGCUUAACCUGGGAACUGCGUUUGAAACUGGGGAGCUAGAGUGUGGAAGAGGGGGGUGGAAUUCCAGGUGUAGCAGUGAAAUGCGUAGAUAUCUGGAGGAACACCGAUGGCGAAGGCAGCCCCCUGGGCUAACACUGACGCUCAUGCACGAAAGCGUGGGGAGCAAACAGGAUUAGAUACCCUGGUAGUCCACGCCCUAAACGAUGUCAACUGGUUGUCGGGGAAGUUAUUCCUUGGUAACGAAGCUAACGCG
rnacentral:rRNA from 1 species